GACAGGGAGUUCCUCUUGCUCUGCUGGUGUAAUCAUUCCUGAUGAAAAAGAACAGGAUCUUGCUGUUUCUUCCUAAUAGUUUUUAACAUUUGUGGUACUUGUAUUUUCCUUAGAUCCUUCUACAGAAUGUUGUCUAAGUGGAGCUAAUAUCCUGUUUCUUUGCUCAGGCAUUAUGCUAUCAUAAGAAUUCUCCAUGGAGUAAUUUGAGUAAGGAACUCAGGCAGCACAUCGAUCCUCUGUAGUCAAUCAAGUAUGGACAAAGCAAACUGAAAACAAUUCCUAGAAAAAUCUUCAUAAUGAUGUAGAGAUUUCUUACAUCACCUUAUUCCUGCUUCCUGUCCAAGGGCAUUGCAUCGUCUCACACAAACAGAGGACAUUAUUAAAAGGAGCUUAAAAACACUGGAAAGAAAAGAAGAUUUAGACCCCCUGCCAAGGCAUACAGCAAUGCUCAUGUAAUGUAAAACCACUUUAUCCUCCUGUGCUCUCCAUCCCAGCUGACC